UGUCUUCAUCCUCAGUGACCCCAGAGCAGUGAGAGCAUCAAGAGAAAGACCACAAGACACUGAGGAUGUGAUUUUGGGGCCUACAAUCCCCUGAUCAACCUGGAGAAGAGAGCCUUGCUCAAGGACACACUGGUGUUCCUGUGGCUCAAGUGGUUGAGCAUUGCGUUAGCAGUGCAAGGUUGUGGGUUCGAAUACCAGGGAAGACAUGUUAGGUAGUCGUGCUCAUGGGGUGCAGGCACAUGAAAGUUUGGAGCAGACACAGCAGUCAGAUUGUCCUGCACGUGUUCUUCUGCUCUCGCUUCAAGGUUGUGUGGAUCAGAGAGCCGUCAUCAAGGUCUUCUUCAUCCUGUUGCUCAACGACAUCCCCGUUGAAAAGAGUGAGAUUGUGAAGUGCAGCAGCAGAACUGUAUCAGCUGUGUUCAGAUGGCAGGAGGAUGUUGGGUUCACCAUCUGUAAAUACAUGUUUGUUAGAACAAUAAGUUUGAAUGAAGCUUUGUAUCAUGUGUUGUUGACUUGUACAUGUAUGCAUUUAUUGUGAUGCUAACUUUUAUACAUUGUUUUAA